rnacentral:rRNA from 1 species
GGAGCUCUGGGUCGCUCGUCUCAUCCCCUUCUUUCGCCGGCAGGAACGCCACGAGACCGCGGCGGCUACUCGACGGCAAAUCGCGCUCGGUGGUCCUCGACGGCCGACUGCCCUUGUCGUCCACGGCAGCUACAUCCCGGCGAGGUGGUUCCUCUCUGUCCCGCUCCCCCUCCCGCAGCGGCUACAUCUUGGCGUGUGCUCUGCCGCCGGCCACCGCGUUGCCGUGAUGUACGCUGCCACUGCUGCUUCUAAUCUGCAGCCGGCCACCGCGUUGCGGUGAUGCGCGCUGCCGCUGUGGCUCCACGUCGUACACCAUGGCACGGACGGGUUGACCCUUCCCUUCACCACCUCGGACACUGACAGCAGCAACUCGUCCAUGGUGUGGAAGCCGACGACGUGCUCUACUCCGUUCACCAGCUUGUGUAGGUCGUCCCAUGCGGUCUUCGAGCCGUACGGCCGCCGCGCCGCCCCAGUGCAGGUCGUCCCGCGCUGUCCCCGAGCCGCAUGACCGCCGCCUCUAUGCAGGUCUUCAACAGCAAGGAACGCCGGCCUCGUAGCUGCUCCGCGAUGCGUUGUCUAGCUGCACCAUGGAUAAAGAGCACCAUGUACAGAGCCUUGAACGACAUCGAGCUCUUCUACCACCUGGAGACGCGCCGGCCUCCUCCAUCGCCGGGGAGGGGGAGCAGCACGGCUGUGCCACCAGCGGCAUCUGCUACUCUGGCGGCGGCCAUCAGCAGAUAACAACGGCGGCGGUGAACUGGUUCAACCCAUCCUAAUUUGUUUUGAAUCAGUGAAUUGGCUGGAUGCACUGGUCAAAUUAGCACAAGGGUAGUUUUGUCCACUGUUUUUUGUAUAUAUUAUGUUAAUCAUUUGCAAGUAUUAUUUUUGUGUGAAAAAGUGGCAAAAGAUCAAAGUGCAAAGUAAAGAGUGGCAACAAGUCAAUUACAAUGUAAUGAGUGGCAAAUUAUCAAAGUGCAAAGUAAAGGCCUGUUCGGUAUCUCGCCAAUUUCAAAACUCCGCUCCGUGCUAGGAGCUGGUUCCGAGCCACUCCGUAGGAUUCCACUGCCGCUCCCUCCGCUCCGGGAGUCGCAGCCGUGGAGCCGAGUGAAUCCGAACAGGGCUUAAGUGGUGGCAAAAAGUCAAAAACCCCGACAUUGUGGGUCCAUACUCCGGCGGCAACGCUUCAGCGAAAAAAAACCCCUAUCCUUCGAGACGCUGCACGACGGCAGGGACGCAUAGCUAUGGCGACGGCGGAGGCGACAGGCGAGGGUUCGGAGUUCCUAUCGGAUCCAGUUGACAGGUUUCCUCUGCCAGAUCUCGCCGCCGAUGAAUCGCUGGUAAGCGGCGGAGGCAACCAAACUUUCGUAUGCACGGCUACCGAAUUCAGUAUCGGUGAUGUGGGUGAUGCGGCGGUGACAUUGGAAGUAGAUUUGCAGAGCGAAUGCAAUGUAGUGGCUCUGUCGGCGCCGAACUCAGAGCAGUCGACGGGCAAAGACGAUCCUCAGGCGCCGGGCUGGACUAAGAGACUGCUUGUUGGGCAUGCACCUGAAGUCCUGAAGAACGCCCUCCGUGUGCCGGCAGAAUGAGUGCUCUUGAAAAAGCAUUGAGAAGAUAUACUGAGAAGAAAACUGACACUGUAAUAGUGCCUGCAGUAGGAAGCACGUCUGAUUCACUUGGAGAAGCUUAUGACUAUUACAAUUUGUAUUCCUGGGAAAUUGGGGAUUUGGGGUAAGAUAUGGCAAGAGCAGGCUUAAUGUUGAAAGGACAAAAUGCAUGCAAGAGAUAGUAUGUGGCUGCUCGGGGAUUCCAUAGAAAAGCAACACCCGGACUUGCCGGUGCAGGUGCCCCGCGCUCAUACGAUUGCUUCGAUCAAAGGACAAUGGAUGGUACAUAAGUGAGUUCAUACCAUCACACAGCCAUUCUUUAAUGGAGAAGUGUGGCAAGAAGGUGUACUCGCCGUCACACAGACAUAUCGAUAUAUACACACGUGAUGUGGUUAAGCAACUCCAUGAAAAUAACAAUAGCAUUGGCAAGGUUUACAAUAUAAUGGAGUAGUUUCUUUGGUUCAAUGUCCAAUGUGCCAUUCAUCAAAAGAGCGUUGAGGGGGCUAUGUGGCAAGAUCAGCCGUGAGCAAGCAGACGAUGAUGUCAGGAAGACAAUGGAUGUUUUUGCCGAGUUGGGAGCAAAAGAUACUGGUCUGUACUACAGAGUGCAGUCGGAUGAGGAUAGCCGCAUACGGAAUUUGUUAUGGUCAACCGGAUCAAGCAGGGCCCAGUACCACUUCUUUGGAGAUGCGAUAACAUUUGAUACAACAUACCGUACCGACCUCUUUGACAUGCCAUUUGGCCUGUUUGUGGGAGUCAACAGACACUUCUAGACCAUGAUAUUUGGUGGCGUCCUAGUGAGAGAUGAGACAGUCGAGACUUUUCAGUGGGUAUUCACUGAAUUCAUUCGCAUGAUGGGCGGAAAACAUCCACAAACUUUGCUUACAGAUCAAUGCAGGUCCAUGGAGAUAGCAAUGGAGAAAGUGAUGCCAGAAACCACUCACCGCUGGUGCAAGUGGCACGUGCUGAAGAAGGCAAAGGAGUCUCUGGGACCAUACUACACAAAGCGCAACAAAUUCAGGCCAGAGUUCCACAAGAUAAUACUCCCUCCGUUCAGAAUUACUUGUCACACAAAUGGAUGUAUCUACAACUAAAAUACAUCUAGAUACAUUCAUUUCUUGGACGAGUAAUUCCGAACGGAGGGAGUACAUCACAUGCUGACAGUGGAGGAAUUCGAAACUGCAUGGAAGCAACUGACAGAAUCACAUGGUUUCGAAAAACAUCCUUACCUUACUCACAUCUAUGAAACAAGAGCAAAAUGGGCUAAACCGCUAAACCAUACUUUAAAAGUAAAUUUUGUGCCAAAAUGACAAGCACACAGCGCAGCGAGAGUGCGAACCAUAUGCUCAAGGGUUAUGUUCCAGCAAGCUGCCCCAUGCAUCUCUUUGUUCGACAGUACAUGCGGCUUCUUUCUUAUAGAGAAGCAAAUGAAAACUAUGAGGAGAGGCGCACAAAAAUAGUAGCCCCAGAAAAUGAACACGCGAAGAGUUGCAUGCAAGCAGAGUCUAUACACGAGCCAUGUUCUAAAAAUUUGGUGAGAUUAUAUACGAAGCAGGUCAAUACAGAGUAGAGGAGGUGACUAGACAGAAAACCUACUUGGUGCGACGAUACCACCCAAAAAAAUUAUGAGAAGUGGGGCAGGAUUGUCUACAAAGUAGAACUUGCUGACGAAGGGAAUGAGUUGAUAUUUGAGUGUUCUAGUUUCGAACACACAGGUCUGCUAUGCUGCCAUUCAGUGAAGGUAAAAAUUAAAUCCCUUGGUACAUGACGCGGGGUGAGCGGUAGACAAACCUGUAUGAUAUGCCAUUUGGGCUGCUUGUGGGAGUCAAUAAUCACUUCCAGAGCGUGAUUUUUGGCGGUGUGCUAGUAAGAGAUGGGCAGUGGAAACUUUUCAAUGGGUGUUCACUGAAUUUACCCGCGUGAUGGGCGGCAAACAUCCACAAACCGUGCUCACAGAUCAAUGCAAGGCGAUGGAAGUAGCAAUAGAGAAAGUGAUGCCACACACGACUCACUGUUGGUGCAAGUGGCACGUGCACUUUGUAAUUUCGUGGGGCUAAAAGCUCCAGAACAAAAACGAAAGCCCGGUCACCAAUCACCCGCAGGGAUAAACCUCCAUAUGAUGAUCGUGGUGCAAAAAGCAAGAAGUACAGACUGACAGCAAAUGCACAAGCUUGAAAUGGAUGCGGGACAAGUAAAUGAACUCGCUUGUCCAUUAUAUGUUGAGAACCAGGGCACAAGAGCACCACAUGUCCACAAAGAGGUGAUCUUCCUCAAAAAGAAAGGAAAGCGGCAAAAUGCUCGAACUGUGGCUUCGGUGGUCACAGGAAAAACACCUGCAGCAAGCCUAGGGUUGUACUCCAUGUUGAAAUUGCUACCUUAGAGCCAAAUGCAAUUUGCGGGUGACUUAAUUUAGAUUCAGUGUUUGUUCUGUGUUGUUGAGGGCGUUGUAGCCGUUAACUUUAACUGCAAGACUCUUGUUGUAAUAAUAACCGUCAGUGAAGUACGCGUUGUUUGUGAUCAGGUUGUCGUUGUGAUUUGAAUGUUUAUCAUGUAGAGGAAAAAAUGUAUGAGAGUCUGCCUAAUGUUGUAGUGUGCAUGUGCAUCUCCCC